GCUUUUCAGUUGCUUCUAUUUAAAAAUAGGAAACCAAACCUUGCAAGGAAAUGACAAACAUAAUGGCAAACUUGCAAUUUAUUGAUGACAAUAUCUGGAGCCCAGAUAACAUUGAGCGGCAGCGAAAUCUCCCUCAUCUUGUCGUAGAGGCUGAAAUUCCAGGACCGGCAGCGCCCCCAUCAGACCAGCCCAGUCCCGAAGAUGUGCAGUGCUGGCCUCCCUUCUUGCCAGUGAUUAAACACGUUCGUGUUGUAAGUCUUGCAAAAGUACCUUUGGUGGAGUACUCCUGGGGUUUCAGCACCUCCUCGGUGUUGCCCAGUCCUUUCUGUUUGCUUGGCUCACUGCUUCAUCUGAAGGCAAAGGACCUACUGCAUGAUGGCAGGGUUUGCCAAAACGUCAAGGUGAAGGAGAAACCACUUGCUCCUGACCUCUUCCAGGUUCUUUUAACUUUUCCUCACCUGCUCUCCCAGUGUAAAGCACUGUGUCGAUCGCUGUGCUGGCCCAAAGGAGCCUCGCAUGGACCACGGCUAUCCCGGCAGCUCACUGGUGAGUGCAACAGGGCUGCAGCUAAAACUAGAGUCUUUUUUUAUCAAGUUAAACAACAAGUUUCUCAAUGCCAGCUGGCUGGCAUAAUUGGUUCUCUGGUGGCAUUAUUCACAGCUCUUUCCUCUUUCUUUUUCAGAUACCUUCCAUCUUGCUUGUUAAAAGCACAGGAUAUUUCGGAGAAUUGGAAUUCAUUAGUCUUCCUAACAGAGGGAGCCUACUUAGACCUAAAUUGGUGGUUAGCAAAUGUACAGAUAAUUCCCACACAUUCUUAUUUAUCUUCCCCAGUUCGGCAGAGUAUAGAAACAGAUGCCUCAGCGUCUGUCUGGGAGGCUCUAGUCAAUGGAGUGGAAUACAAAGGUAUCUGGGAUUCAGAAUUGGCGAAACUCAAUAUAAGCAAAUUGGAACUCUUCUCUGUUGACUAGAUUACCUCCCUAAUCAGAUUUCCCCAAGGUCCUCGCAAUAACUUGAUAUUCUCAGACAAGACUAGUCUUUUAUGUACACGAAACAGGAGGCAAAAGAUCACAAUAGAAGUCAGAGGCAGUGAUGAAGACGGGCCGAGAGCUCUUCACGCGAAACAAUGGUUGCUAAAUGCUCGUCUAUUAGCGCCCGCACCUGCUGACAGCUCUGCUGCAUCUAGGCUUUUAAAGCCUCUGGAUGCUUGAUGACAUUGGCUCUGGAGCCAAAUCUCUGCUUAGAUGUACCGGUAGUGCCAGUAUAGAUCUUCUGAAUGUGCAUUCUUUACAGCCAAAGAUGUAGAGAAGACCCUAAAUUGGGAGGGGAAAGAAAUUUCCUCAUCCCUAUUCUGGCUUAGGGUGGCUAUUUUACCGGAUCCCACUAGCUUACAGCUAAUGAUGUGGAGAUGGUGAAUUCAAGCCUGCAGCUCUGCUCAUGUACAUAGCCCAUCUCUUUCAGCUUGGUGUUUACGAGGGACUUGCUACAGCUAAAGCAAGCAAUAUCCUUUCUGAAACUCUUCCAUUUUUGUAACAAAAUGGCAUUUUCCAAAUCUGCUCUUUGCUCUCCCCACAAUGCUGAUGGACGGCCAGCAGCAGAAGGAAACUGAUUCUGGUCUGCUAGACACCUGUGGGAAACGCUCACUUGAUCUACACCCAAACUUUGCAUCUUCAGAUGCCCUGAAAUGCAAUUUCAGUUCCCCAGCAAGAAGGAAUUAAAGAUCUGCAAUACAAGAGGUA
ensembl:lncRNA